rnacentral:rRNA from 1 species
AUUGAACGCUGGCGGCAUGCUUUACACAUGCAAGUCGAACGGUAACAGGUUAAGCUGACGAGUGGCGAACGGGUGAGUAAUGCAUCGGAACGUGCCCGAUCGUGGGGGAUAACGCAGCGAAAGCUGCGCUAAUACCGCAUACGAUCUGAGGAUGAAAGCGGGGGACCGUAAGGCCUCGCGCGAUCGGAGCGGCCGAUGUCAGAUUAGGUAGUUGGUGGGGUAAAGGCUCACCAAGCCAACGAUCUGUAGCUGGUCUGAGAGGACGACCAGCCACACUGGGACUGAGACACGGCCCAGACUCCUACGGGAGGCAGCAGUGGGGAAUUUUGGACAAUGGGCGAAAGCCUGAUUCAGCAAUGCCGCGUGCAGGAGGAAGGCCUUCGGGUUGUAAACUGCUUUUGUUCGGAGCGAAAAGGCUCUCUCUAAUACAGGGGGCUCAUGACGGUACCGUAAGAAUAAGCACCGGCUAACUACGUGCCAGCCGCCGCCGUAA